rnacentral:rRNA from 1 species
UUUCGAAUCAUUCACAAUGGGCGAAAGCCUGAUGGUGCGACGCCGCGUGAGGGAUGAAGGCCUUCGGGUUGUAAACCUCUGUCACCGGGGAAGAAACGCUUCAAGUUAACAGCUUGAAGCCUGACUUAACCCGGAGAGGAAGCAGUGGCUAACUCUGUGCCAGCAGCCGCGGUAAUACAGAGACUGCAAGCGUUAUUCGGAUUCACUGGGCGUAAAGGGUGCGCAGGCGGUUGGGUGUGUCAGAUGUGAAAUCCCGAGGCUUAACCUCGGAACUGCGUCUGAAACUACUCGACUAGAGUACUGGAGAGGGUAACGGAAUUCACGGUGUAGCAGUGAAAUGCGUAGAUAUCGUGAGGAACACCAGAGGCGAAGGCGGUUACCUGGACAGUUACUGACGCUCAGGCACGAAAGCAUGGGGAGCAAAAGGGAUUAGAUACCCAUGUAGUCCCUGAGCGGGCUGGCAAGGCGCAU